AGCGAACGCUGGCGGCAGGCCUAACACAUGCAAGUCGAACGAACUCUUCGGAGUUAGUGGCGGACGGGUGAGUAACACGUGGGAACGUGCCUUUAGGUUCGGAAUAACUCAGGGAAACUUGAGCUAAUACCGGAUGUGCCCUUCGGGGGAAAGAUUUAUCGCCUUUAGAGCGGCCCGCGUCUGAUUAGCUAGUUGGUGAGGUAAAGGCUCACCAAGGCGACGAUCAGUAGCUGGUCUGAGAGGAUGAUCAGCCACAUUGGGACUGAGACACGGCCCAAACUCCUACGGGAGGCAGCAGUGGGGAAUCUUGCGCAAUGGGCGAAAGCCUGACGCAGCCAUGCCGCGUGAAUGAUGAAGGUCUUAGGAUUGUAAAAUUCUUUCACCGGGGACGACAAUGACGGUACCCGGAGAAGAAGCCCCGGCUAACUUCGUG
rnacentral:rRNA from 1 species